rnacentral:rRNA from 1 species
GNGCAGCAGGCGCGAAUACUCCGCAAUGCGGGCAACCGCGACGGGGCUACCCCGAGUGCCGGGCGAAGAGCCCGGCUUUUGCCCGGUCUAAAAAGCCGGGAGAAUAAGCGGGGGGCAAGUCUGGUGUCAGCCGCCGCGGUAAUACCAGCUCCGCGAGUGGUCGGGGUGCUUACUGGGCUUAAAGCGCCCGUAGCCGGCCCGGCAAGUCGCUCCUGAAAUCCCAGGGCUCAACCCUGGGGCGGGGGGCGAUACUGCCGGGCUAGGGGGCGGAAGAGGCCGCCGGUACUCCGGGGGUAGGGGCGAAAUCCGUUAAUCCCCGGAGGACCACCAGUGGCGAAAGCGGGCGGCCAGAACGCGCCCGACGGUGAGGGGCGAAAGCCGGGGGAGCAAAGGGGAUUAGAUACCCCUGUAGUCCCGGCCGUAAACGAUGCGGGCUAGCUGUCGGCUGGGCUUANGGCCCGGCCGGUGGCGAAAGGAACCGUUAAGCCCGCCGCCUGGGGAGUACGGCCGCAAGGCUGAAACUUAAAGGAAUUGGCGGGGGAGCAC